rnacentral:rRNA from 1 species
GCCGCGUGAGGGAUGAAGGCCUUUGGGUCGUAAACCUCUGUCAGAAGGGAAGAAACCAUGGUCGGUUAAUAUCCGGCCGUACUGACGGUACCUUCAAAGGAAGCACCGGCUAACUCCGUGCCAGCAGCCGCGGUAAUACGGAGGGUGCAAGCGUUGUUCGGAAUUAUUGGGCGUAAAGGGCAUGUAGGCGGUCAGUUAAGUCUGGUGUGAAAGCCCGGGGCUCAACCCCGGAAGUGCAUUGGAUACUGGCUGACUUGAGUAUGGGAGAGGAAGGCGGAAUUCCGAGUGUAGGAGUGAAAUCCGUAGAUAUUCGGAGGAACACCAGUGGCGAAGGCGGCCUUCUGGACCA